rfam:Magnaporthe oryzae 70-15 chromosome 3, whole genome shotgun sequence.
GCCCUUAUGGCUCAGUGGUAGAGCGCAUCACUAGUAAUGAUGAGGUCCUAGGUUCGAUCCCUGGUGAGGGCA